UACGGCUCAGUAACACGUGGACAACCUGCCCUUUAGGUUGGGUAUAAACCCGGGAAACUGGGUAUAAUACCCGAUAGGUCUCGAUUGCUGGAAUGCAUCGAGAUUUAAAGCUCCGGCGCCUAAGGAUGGGUCUGCGGCCUAUCAGGUAGUAGUGGGUGUAGCGUACCUACUAGCCUACGACGGGUACGGGUUGUGAGAGCAAGAGCCCGGAGAUGGAUUCUGAGACACGAAUCCAGGCCCUACGGGGUGCAGCAGGCGCGAAAACUUUACAAUGCUGGCAACAGCGAUAAGGGAACCUCGAGUGCCAGGUUACAAAUCUGGCUGUCGAGAUGCCUAAAAAGCAUUUCAUAGCAAGGGCCGGGCAAGACCGGUGCCAGCCGCCGCGGUAACACCGGCGGCUCGAGUGGUAACCGUUAUUAUUGGGUCUAAAGGGUCUGUAGCCGGCCGGAUAAGUCUCUUGAGAAAUCUGGCAGCUUAACUGUCAGGCUUUCAGGAGAUACUGUCUGGCUCGAGGCCGGGAGAGGUGAGAGGUACUUCAGGGGUAGGGGUGAAAUCUUGUAAUCCUUGAAGGACCACCAGUGGCGAAGGUGUCUCACCAGAACGGACCUGACGGCAAGGGACGAAAGCUAGGGGCACGAACCGGAUUAGAUACCCGGGUAGUCCUAGCCGUAAACGAUACUCGCUAGGUGUCGGCCACGGUGCGACCGUUGUCGGUGCCGUAGGGAAGCCGUGAAGCGAGCCACCUGGGAAGUACGGCCGCAAGGCUGAAACUUAAAGGAAUUGGCGGGGGAGCAC
rnacentral:rRNA from 1 species